GCCCAAACCAAAUAAUUAAAUAUCAAAUAGAAUAUUUAAAAUAAACUAUUUAUAAUAAAAUUAGUCUUCACCUGUUUUAUCCAACAAUGUCAUUCUCUUGUGUGUGACCUUUUAGGUGCCGAAUACCAAAUAAGCUGGCAAUAGAUAAUUUGAUUAAUCAAAUUAAUCUAACUUUACAUAAUUAGAAACCAAUAUAAUUUAACCUUAUAUGGAUAUCCAUAAAUGAAUAGUAACAUCUAGUACUGGUUAUCAACUACCUAGAUUAGUCAAAAUAUGUUUGAAUUAAUACAACAUGUAUUUUGGCAUUAAUGUCGAUGACUUGACACUGGGUUACCAUAACUAACCAAUUAUGUGUUGUCACAUCAAAUGCUUUUCAGGCAUACUCAUAUACAAAGACGAAUCCACAAAAUAAAUGUGGUGUCUUUGGUCAAAAGAUUACUUUAUAUUAGCCCAAACUAUCGGGUUCUCAUAUGACAUGAAUAUGAAACAUUUUAUUUGAUUGUAUUCAGUGAACUCAUUCUCUGUUGAGCACCUACAUACUUUUCUUGGUGCUUUCAUUCACUGACUCAAGAUAAACACUUUUAAAGAGGGAAGACAUAAUAUGUAUUGAUAUUAUCGGCUUAAUUUUUGAAAUGCCCCCGAAACUCAACAACUCUGGACUUAUCGUGCUCCACAGGCUCAUUAGUGAUGCCACCAUCAUCCUAUUUAGGAUAGUGGGCGAUGUUUGUCGACUUCGCUGAGAUUGAUCAUUCUUGUUCCGUAAGAUACGGAAACCUGAUCCAGUAUGGAAUCAACCUAAGACGAUGAAUAUCUACUCCUAGAUAUCAUCUGAGAUUCUCCCAGUUUAUACGGAUUCUAUAUCUUACAAGGUCUCUCUGUUGACUAGUAUAAAUACACUUUUUUAGGGUUCGUCUCUGGUAACACAAUUAUCGCAUACUAUUCUCUUACCAGCUAAUUGAGUCCCACAAACAGCUUACUAACUUGACCAUCGAAGAACCUUUGGCCAACAAUCUACUGGUGCCAAGGUUUUCUUACGAUUGUUUAUUAUUUUACAUGUAGUUAAACUUGUGUAUCUCCUCUUCACACGGUGGUUGGCGAAUUUGGUUCAAACAAUUGGUGAUUUCAUUAAGAGUGAACUCAUAUUCCCCCGAUCAAGUCACUCUAUCACAAUCAUGUAUGCCAAAGAAAGCUCAGUUAACACCAACAUUAACAGCUUAAAGAAAAACAAUCCACUUUCGAUGCCUCUGUUACCCCAAGCAUGAGCAGCCUGACGCCAAACGCCUUAGCCAUCCUAGGGAACAACGAUGCUCCCGCUGCUUGAACAACCUCCACCAUGGAUCAUAUAUAUGAGACCUUACAAAAGAUUAACGCCUCUGUUGACGAGUUGUAGAAGACUUAUAUGGCUUCUCGAGCGAAGAACCAUGCAAACUUUAUGGGCAUCAAUAGACGGAUGAAAGCCUUGAAGAAAUCAGUGGGACAACACCAAAAACCCAGGUUUCCAUCUUCAGCUAUAGGAAUUUAAGCACCAUAACUCUAUAAGAACAACCAAUUGCAUUGACAUCCGUUCUGAGUCUAGUAGAAAUUGAUGAUCUGAACACGAGUGUGGAACAAUGUAACCGCUAAAUCGUCAAUCGUGCCUCUGUAGGCAAGGUUCGAGUGUGAUGCGACUUCGGUCUUUUGGACAUUGUGUGAGCACUCUGCAUGGAACCUCGACAUUUGAACUUUGACAAUCCAUAGUCAUUAAGAUAACAAG
rnacentral:lncRNA from 1 species